rnacentral:tRNA from 1 species
GGAGAGGUGCCGGAGUGGCCGAACGGGCCUGACUCGAAAUCAGGUGGCCUCGCGAGGGGUCCCAGGGUUCGAAUCCCUGCCUCUCCGCCA